AAUCGUACGCGGAUGGCCCGGUCUGCAUCGUCUCGUGACUUUUACGUAAUUUUUACACCCGGUAAUUCUUGCGUUAAUAAAGCAUUCGUAAAAUCGACCGAUUUACAGCACAUUCUGUCGAGCCGCGCGACCGCGCCAAAUGUAUAAAUAAUUGAUGGCGACGUAACCUUUGUUUUAUUAUUAAACGCGCGAUGCAACGAAAUUGUCGGAUCGCGUGGAAUAAAAAAGUGCAGCGUGCUGCUUUGGGAAAAAGAGAUACGAUUAUGACGUGCGAAUUAGGGAAAAAGAGAUACGAUUAUGGCGUGCGAAUUAGGGAAAAAUUAUCGUAGUUUCGGAUUCGAACGGGGACAUCGUCGAAUUGUGAAAAGAGAUGCGAGAAUCUGCGAACGGUGAACCAUGAGAGAUGUUUAUUGAAACGUUAACUGCAACGCUGUGGCCCAACGAUUCGAUUUAAUCGAUUUUUUGGACAAUGAAGGUUAAAUUAACCAGGCUUCGCAAGCAUCCUGUCAGAAAACUCAACAACAGACAUCGAAAGUCCUCGGGACCAGUACAUAUGUAUCUUGAAACAAAGCUUUGGCAUUUGAACCGAUAAUAAAAUCGUCGCCAUACUCUUCAACGAUCAUUAUACGGACCUCAUAAACGUCUUGGAAGUGUUAACGUUGGCAAGUCGCUCCACGUACCGCCAUUGCCAAACAAUUGACAUUUACGCGUGGAGCAUUUUUAGCCGGGAACAACGAAACACGCAAAGGCAUUAUAACACUCUUGCAUCGCGAUGGGAGAAGUGCAAUUAUGUGGAAGAGGGCCAUUUUGAUUAAAGAGAUAUUUAUUAAGCUUGUUAAAUAACAGAUCAACUUGAAAAUU